rnacentral:pre_miRNA from 1 species
GCUCAGUGCAGCUGUUUGCAGCCUGCCUGCCACCUGCUACAGCUGCCCAGAGUCUGGGCUGGGCUCUGGGCAGCUGCAACAGGUGGCAGGCAGGCUGCAAACAGCUGC